rnacentral:rRNA from 1 species
GAAAGUAAACAAGGGCGCAUGGAGGAUGCCUAGGCUCUCGGAGGCGAAGAAGGACGUGAUAAGCUGCGAAAAGUUACGGUAAGGCGCAAAUAGCCCUAGACCCGUAAAUAUCCGAAUGGGGCAACCCGGCCAGCAAUGGUCAUACCGCCAAGCGGUAAGCCAACGCGGGGAACUGAAACAUCUAAGUACCCGCAGGAAAAGAAAAUAACAAUGAUUCCGCCAGUAGUGGCGAGCGAACGCGGAACAGCCCAAACCACUCGUGUUACGGCACGAGUGGGGUAGAAGGAUCCACGAUACGGCAAGAAAUAAGUUAGCAGAAUACGAUGGAAAUCGUAGCCAAAGACGGUGACAGCCCAGUACGCGAAAACCGACAGAAGCCCAGUGGACACCUGAGUAACCCAGGACACGAGAAAUCCGGGGCGAAUCAGCGGGGCCCAUCCCGUAAGGCUAAAUACUCCCGAGAGACCGAUAGCGAACCAGUACUGUGAAGGAAAGGUGAAAAGAACCUCGAACAGAGGAGUGAAAAAGACCCUGAAACCAUGCGCCUACAAGCGGUCGGAGCAUGUUAAAAUGUGACGGCGUGCCUUUUGCAUAAUGAACCUACGAGUUACUCUCGCUGGCAAGGUUAAGCGAUUCAGUCGCGCAGCCGAAGCGAAAGCAAGUCCGAAUAAGGCGUACAGUCAGCGGGAGUAGACGCGAAACCAAGUGAUCUACCCUUGGUCAGGUUGAAGGUUGGGUAACACCAACUGGAGGACCGCACCGAUAAGCGUUGAAAAGCUUACGGAUGAACUGAGGGUAGGAGUGAAAGGCCAAUCAAACUUGGAGAUAGCUCGUACUCCCCGAAAUGCAUUUAGGUGCAGCCUCGGGCCAGUAUGUAAUAGAGGUAGAGCCACUGAUAAGUCGCGAGGGUUUCAACGCCUAUCAAGACUUGACAAACUCCGAAUACUAUUACAGGUACCCCGGGAGUGAGGGCAUGGGUGCUAAGGUCCAUGUCCGAGAGGGAAAGAACCCAGACCAUCAGCUAAGGUCCCGAAAUAUAUGCUAAGUUGAAGAUAAAACGAAGUAGAGACCCUGAGACAGCUAGGAUGUUGGCUUGGAAGCAGCCAUUCAUUUAAAGAGUGCGUAACAGCUCACUAGUCGAGGAGUUUUGCAUGGAUAAUAAUCGGGCAUAAGCCCUUUACCGAAGCUGUGGAUGUCGUAAGACAUGGUAGGGGAGCAUUCCGGCGGCGACGAAGGCCGUCCUCGAGGACGACUGGAGCUUUCGGAAAAGCAAAUGUAGGUAUAAGUAACGAUAAAGGGGGCGUGAAACCCCCUCGCCAUAAGACUAAGGAUUCCUGAUCAACGCUAAUCGGAUCAGGGUAAGUCGGGCCCUAAGGCGCAGCCGAACGGCGUAGCCGAUGGAAGAAACGGUAAAGAUUCCGUUACUGGAUAUAGGAGCGAUGUGGAGACGGAGAAGUGACACACCCGCCUGCCGACGGAAGCGCAGGUUAAAGGAAGUAGGUAAACGCCGGGUAGGCAAAUCCGCCCAGCGUGCCGAAGCUGACAGUAUCGAGAGCCCCCGGGCAAUCGAAUAGCGGUGGUAAUCAGGCUCCCAAGAAAAUCCGCUAAGCAUAUUCUAUAUUCACCCGUACCCCAAACGGACACACGUAGUCGGGUAGAAUAUACCAAGGCGCUCGAAAGACUCACGGUUAAGGAACUAGGCAAAUUGACCCUGUAACCUCGGGAAAAAGGGUCCCCAGUAAGAUGGGGCGCAGAGAAUAGGUCCAGGCAACUGUUUAACAAAAACACAGGGCUGUGCAAAAUUUCAAGAUGACGUAUACAGCCUGACACCUGCCCGGUGCUGGAAGGUUAAGAGGAGAAGUCAUUCGCAAGAAGAAGCUUUGAAUUGAAGCCCCAGUAAACGGCGGCCGUAACUAUAACGGUCCUAAGGUAGCGAAAUUCCUUGUCGGGUAAGUUCCGACCUGCACGAAUGGUGUAAUGAUCUGGACACUGUCUCAACCGUGAGCUCGGUGAAAUUGUAGUAUCGGUGAAGAUGCCGAUUACCCGCAACGGGACGAAAAGACCCCGUGAACCUUUACUGCAACUUAACAUUGUAAUUGGGUAUCCGAUGUGUAGGAUAGUCCGGAGGCAAAGAAGCAGGUACGCCAGUAUUUGUGGAGCCGACCUUGAAAUACGGACCUUUGGCUAUUUGAUUACUAACCCGCGCUAGUGGGGACAUUGUUUGGUGGGUAGUUUGACUGGGGUGGUCGCCUCCAAAAGCGUAACGGAGGCUUCUAAAGGUGCCCUCA